CAGUCGCCGCGGGAAUACGUAGGGUGCAAGCGUUAAUCGGAAUUACUGAGCGUAAAGCGUGCGCAGGCGGUUAUGUAAGACAGUUGUGAAAUCCCCGGGCUCAACCUGGGAACUGCAUCUGUGACUGCAUAGCUAGAGUACGGUAGAGGGGGAUGGAAUUCCGCGUGUAGCAGUGAAAUGCGUAGAUAUGCGGAGGAACACCGAUGGCGAAGGCAAUCCCCUGGACCUGUACUGACGCUCAUGCACGAAAGCGUGGGGAGCAAACAGGAUUAGAUACCCCCGUAGUCCCUGUCUCUUAUAC
rnacentral:rRNA from 1 species